AGCAGAGUGGCGCAGUGGAAGCGUGCUGGGCCCAUAACCCAGAGGUCAGGAUCGAAACCACACUCUGCUA